CACUCCUGCGGGAGGCAGCAGUGGGGAAUUUUGGACAAUGGGCGAAAGCCUGAUCCAGCCAUGCCGCGUGCAGGAUGAAGGCCUUCGGGUUGUAAACUGCUUUUGUACGGAACGAAACGGCCUUUUCUAAUAAAGAGGGCUAAUGACGGUACCGUAAGAAUAAGCACCGGCUAACUACGUGCCAGCAGCCGCGGUAAUACGUAGGGUGCAAGCGUUAAUCGGAAUUACUGGGCGUAAAGCGUGCGCAGGCGGUUAUGUAAGACAGUUGUGAAAUCCCCGGGCUCAACCUGGGAACUGCAUCUGUGACUGCAUAGCUAGGGUACGGUAGAGGGGGAUGGAAUUCCGCGUGUAGCAGUGAAAUGCGUAGAUAUGCGGAGGAACACCGAUGGCGAAGGCAAUCCCCUGGACCUGUACUGACGCUCAUGCACGAAAGCGUGGGGAGCAAACAGGAUUAGAAACCCCGGUAGUCCCAUGA
rnacentral:rRNA from 1 species